rnacentral:lncRNA from 1 species
UAACAACCAUGUAUUUCUGGAAUUUUAAAAUUCAAUAGAAAAUGAUUUCAAUGCAGAUUUGGCCUAAACAUGAGAAAUGCUAAUAAAUAGCAAUAGUAUUUGGAGCACUAAUCUGCUAAAAAGCUUAAAAUAGAAGCAAUUAAGUAAAUAAUGCAAAUUAGCAUAAACAUCUGGUGGCUCAACCGCAUGCAAAUAGGCCACGUAGGGUUGCCCAGCCAGGUGCAGCCUGGUCACCCGAAUGGAUAAGGAAGAGCAGCAGGGAUAUCCACACAAAAGUAGAUUCGAUCCCCAAUCCACAUGACCAAGACCGGAGGGACUCCAGCCGCGCUCUUCCUCGAAGGCACCUACGGUCGGUGGCCCGCACACGGACGACGGAAAGAACUCCAGCCGCGCUAUUACUCGUCGGACGAGUCGCCGUGAAGGCGGAUGCCAGGCACGGCGCCAUUGGAGAGGCUCCUUGCGAGUCCGAGCGCUGCUAGGCUCAAGUUCUCUCGCGGGCAGUGCGGCUGGUCGACGACGGGCUGCGGCUGCUCGACGCUGCAAAGGCGGUGGCCACGAGGCAGAAGGGCGGGNNNNN